GGUAGCUCAGUUAGGCAGAGCGUCUGGCUUUUAACCAGAUGGUCGGGGGUUCAACUCCCUCCCG
rnacentral:tRNA from 1 species